rnacentral:lncRNA from 10 species
GAAAUAUGGGUGUGGCUCACUUUAUACUCUUGCCUAAAUGUCCCAUAGUCAUAGUAGCCAUUGCACUAAAAUAUCUGAUAUUGGGAAUAGAUGUGCCAACACAAUAAGAAAUUUAAAAAGUCAAAUUUUUGGCACUUACAAAUUGGCUUGAUUAAAAUGGGAUCCCAAUCCACAGUUAAAAUAGUUAAUAUAGCCUUAUGUAAGUUAAGACAGGGCUUUCAAGGAUUAAAACUUAU